GGAACCAAGAACCACAACAUUCUUUUCCUUUCUGAGGUCGUAGCCGCUGUGAGUCUUAGCUUCUCUCUGCAUCUGUGAGGUCAUCUCCCUUUCUGUAGAGCAUAUGAUCUUUACUGAUGCACCUGCAUCUGGCUCAGACUUAGUCACCCAGCCCUGAAAUUAUAUCAUAUCACAGGUCAUUCUCUGAGUCUCUUAAUGUGAGGCCUUGAGAGAAAAAUCAACAUGCCUUCUGUUGGAUGAAGACCAAUCAGCAAGAUGGUGGUGAUUGUGGUCUGUAACAAUGCAAAAGUCAGAACUGGUUGAAAUGUAAAAUUCAGUCCCCUUUUUAUAGAGUCGUUGCAAGGAUCAAGUGAGUUGAAAUCCGUAAGGUGCUUGGGAGAAUGCCUGGCGCCUGGAAGCACUGUAUAUUCCAAAAAAGGAGAUAUAAACAUGACCAUAAAAGACAUGAAAAGAUGUUUAACCCCAUUAGUCAUCGUGGAAAUGCAAAUGAAAACCACCAUACAGACACUAGAGUGGUUUAAAUUUGAAUGACUUCCAACACCAAAUGCCAGACAGGACAUAGAGCAACUGGAUGUCUCAUGCUCACAGGCAGAAGGGAAAACUACUGUGUGUGACAGGAAGAUGGACUUACCCAACCUUCAGCAUUCUCAAUCUCUUGUCUAUUAACAUGUGUUUGAAACAUUAUGCAUUCAAAGCAAACAUCUGGGAGGAAGAUGGGAGAAGCCUUCUUGCCCCUGUUCUACAGAAGUAAUUGAAGUUCAUGACAUUCAAGCUCAUUCACCAGUAAAUGAAUUUGGGUCAUGCUUUAUGUCUGUUGUAAAUACAGUGAAAAUUUGCCUCUGUUCCUGAA
rnacentral:lncRNA from 1 species